ensembl:lncRNA
CCUCAGUCAGGCCUCCAACCAGUACCAGUUCCACCCUGCCAGCACCCAUAGCCCCAUUCCUGUGUCCCAGGCUACAGUGGCCAAUUAUUACAAGACAAAAAGUUGAGAACAAUGCAUGUAUAGUUCUCUUCUUUGCACAGUAUUUCCGACCAUAAAUAAGCAGAGCAAACUAAAAAACACCCCAUUAACAACUUUUGAAGCUUGCACACUGCUGACAGCUCAAGACACUUUAGAAAUAAAUGAAUAAAAGAGAAGAAAUGUUAGCUUGCUCAUCAUUAGUUAAUCUGGAGUCAAAAGAAAGUCAUUUUGGAGCGCUGCGGCCCUGACCCACAAUGGCUCUAUGGAUCUACAGUAUCUUACAGUAUGUCAUAAUAAUAACUGUAACAUACAUUUAAAUUUCCAUCCCAUGCUUGUAAAUAAACGGCCAAUGUCAUGAAUAAACAGUUAAAGCUGUCAAUUUACAAUAAUAGCAGACUACCGUAAUUACAGGACAUUACUAUACAUGCAGCUGUCACUUUUAUCCAAAACACACACGGUUUGAUAUAAUUUUAUGUGGAGUAAUUGGAGGCUGGGUGUCUUGCUCAGGGACACUUCAACUUGGCACAGGGUGCAGCCAGGAUUCGAACCUUGCACAGCACACCCUCCCUAUCCCAUGCGCCGCCUUCGCCGUCGUUUCAGUGGCCGGAAUGUAAAGAUUAUAAAUAUUUGUAUUAUUCAAAGUGUUCAUUGCCUAAAAGUCAUUUGAGUGUUAAUCAUGACCGACUGCUCCUGAAUGUGACGUCAGACGCGUAGUCUCAGUUCAUCCAGAACACCUGUGCAGUUCAACAUUGGAGGAGUUUCUCAUUGCCUCGUCUCUCCAAGUAACGUUGAGGCACUGGAUUAAGAACAACAGCCGUUUGCUGCGGUCAAUUGAAAGUGUUCCAUAGCGUAUUGUUGCAGUUGGUUUACCUUGUUCCUAAUAAUUUUAUGAUUCAUUUUUGUAUUAUGGUAUACAGCAGCCUACAGCGGCAUAUUUUAUGUUUUGUUCUUGGUUACAAAUAAGGCUAUAAUCUAAUAAACUCCAACCAUUAUGACCAAAAUGAGUUUGGUUGUCUUUCUUUAAUUUGUGGGGAAUUAAACGCAAAAGUACACGGUUAUAAGUAAACGAUAACAUUCUGGUAUUUUUAACACAAAAACAGUAAUCGUAGAACAAAC